rnacentral:rRNA from 1 species
UACGGGGGGAGCAAGCGUUGUUCGGAUUUACUGGGCGUAAGGGGCGCGUAGGCGGCCACCGCAAGUCAAUUGUGAAAUCUCCGGGCUUAACUCGGAAAGGUCAACUGAUACUGCGGGGCUAGAGUGCGGAAGGGGCAACUGGAAUUCUCGGUGUAGCGGUGAAAUGCGUAGAUAUCGAGAGGAACACCUGCGGCGAAGGCGGGUUGCUGGGCCGACACUGACGCUGAUGCGCGAAAGCCAGGGGAGCGAACGGG